rnacentral:rRNA from 1 species
UACCCGCUGAAUUUAAGCAUAUAAGUAAGCGGAGGAUGAGAAACUAAAUGGGAUUCCCUCAGUAAUGGCGAAUGAAGAGGGAGUAGCUCAACGUGGAAAUUGGGGCCCCCGGCCUUGAAUUGUAGUCUGGAGAUGCACUGCCAACGGAGGCGCAGAUGUAAACCUCUUGGAAGAGAGCAUCAGCGAGGGUGAGAGUCCUAUUUGUCAUCUGCAGUCCCCCAUGCACGGCGUGCCUUCGAAGAGUCACGUUCCUCGGAACUGGAGCGCAAAGUGGGUGGUAACUUUCAUCUCAAGCUAAAUAUGGGUUCGAGACCGAUAGCAAACAAGUACCAUGAGGGAAAGGUGAAAAGGACUUUGAAAAGAGAGUUACAAGUGCCUGAAAUUGCUGAAAGCAAAGCGAAGGGAACUAGUGCUGCUUGGCAAAAUCUUCCGCGCGCUAUCGCGAUGGCUUGCUGGUUCAACGCAAGUGUGGAAGCGAGUUCUGACUGGGACGCGCGCGGCGUUUCUUGCCCUGCGCGUCAACGCCAGCUCACAAACGAGGAGCGCUCCAGGUGCAGGGCAAUCUGCCCCCGGGCAGACGAACGCGCCUGGUAAAACUCAUUUGUGCACUGACUCGUGGCUGUCUGGUUGCAGCGCUCUGUGUCAGCUCAGAGUAGCUCCGGCAACUGAGGCGCAUUCCUGACGCAAACGAGGACCAAGUGGUUCUAUUCGACCCGUCUUGAAACACGGACCAAGGAGUCUAACAUAUCUGCGAGCUUAUGGGCGGGUAAACCUGCGUGCGCAAUGAAAGUGACUGCUGGGACUCAUGCACCAGCGCCCGACUAAUCAAUUGAGAGAGGUUUGAGUGUGAGCACAUAUGUUAGCACCCGAAAGAUGGUGAACUAUGCCUGAGAAGGGCAAACUCAGGGGAAACUCUGAUGGAGGCUCGUAGCGAUACUGACGUGCAAAUCGUUCGUCAUACUUGGGUAUAGGGGCGAAAGACUAAUCGAACCAUCUAGUAGCUGGUUCCCUCCGAAGUUUCCCUCAGGAUAGCUGGAGUUGAACAGUUUUAUCAGGUAAAGCGAAUGAUUAGAGGAAUCGGGGGCGCGUUGUCCUCGACCUAUUCUCAAACUUUAAAUGGGUAAGAUCCAGUGGUUACUUGGGUGAACUUCUGGGAUAAAUGACAACUCUAAGUGGGCCAUUUUUGGUAAGCAGAACUGGCGAUGAGGGAUGAACCUAACGUUGGGUCAAGGUGCUCAACUGCUCGCUCAUCAGACACCAUAAAGGGUGUUGGUUCAUUGACAGCCAGGACGGUGGUCAUGAAG